rnacentral:lncRNA from 1 species
CUCAUGCUUAGCGCUAAGUCCAGCUUAAAUGAAUUGCAACAUAUCAUCUACGAAUAUGAUUAUGGAAUUAUAUGACCACAGAUACUCCCAAGAUGCUCUUGCCAUUCCCAUUUUGCAGAGGAGAGAGCUGAGGUUUACCAAAAGUAAGUAA